ensembl:snoRNA small nucleolar RNA SNORD49
UGUGCUGAUGAUCCUGGGAUUAGGAAGAGCCGUCAGAAGCGAUACCGGACGAUUUCGAUGCGUGUCUGACC